rfam:Clostridium fallax strain DSM 2631 genome assembly, contig: Ga0131101_107
AAGAGCUAGGUUUGUGGUUGAAAGUCGAUGCCAGUCGCAGGCAAAACGAUCCACGUAAGUUGAACAAAGUUUCAAUGAGCAUGGUGCGGCUUAGAAGUAAGUCCUGCCAGGAAAACUGAGAGGAUUAGUAGUGAGAAGUUAAAUCUGGGUAGCGAAAGUUCCAGCAGGCGAGUGUGGGGUCAAAGACCAGGUCAACUAGCAUGA